CCUACGGGAGGCAGCAGUAGGGAAUAUUGGGCAAUGGAGGCAACUCUGACCCAGCCAUGCCGCGUGAACGAAGAAGGCGCUAUGCGUCGUAAAGUUCUUUUAGAGGGGGCGAAAACACUUGAUUCAUCAAGUACUGACGGUACCUUCGGAAUAAGCACCGGCUAACUCUGUGCCAGCAGCCGCGGUAAUACAGAGGGUGCAAGCGUUAUCCGGAAUCACUGGGUUUAAAGGGUGCGUAGGCGGGAUUAUAAGUCAGAGGUGAAAUCUCGUCGCUUAACGACGGAAUUGCCUUUGAUACUGUUUUUCUUGAAAUUUGUUGAGGUUGGCGGAAUGAGACAUGUAGCGGUGAAAUGCUUAGAUAUGUCUUAGAACACCGAUUGCGAAGGCAGCUGACUGGACAAUAUUUGACGCUGAGGCACGAAAGCGUGGGGAUCAAACAGGAUUAGAUACCCUGGUAGUCCACGCCCUAAACGAUGUUUACUUGCUGUUUGUUUUUCGGAAUGAGUGGCGAAGCGAAAGCGAUAGUAAACCACCUGGGGAGUACGCCCGCAAGGGUGAAACGUCAAAUGAAUUGACGG
rnacentral:rRNA from 1 species